rnacentral:lncRNA from 1 species
UGUAAAAAUUAAUUUUAUUUUAUCACAUGUCUAUAUUAUUAUGUAUUUUCCCACCCCUUGGCAAUAAAAAAAAAAUCUCUAAAUUUUUCUUUCAGUUGGUACUUAAAGGAGGUUCACAACAAACAUUAUUUUGGUUUAGAUACAGGGUGAUGAAUUGAAAUAUUAGAGUCAGUUUACUUCAGCAAGGUUUAUUCCAAAAAAAGAAAGGAGAGGGCGGGCGAGGGGAGAGUUUUCCUGGAUAAGACAACGUAUUUUAAGAUAUAAAGUGAUAGACAAGUCUUAGGAAUAAUUAUGUGGGAAAACUUCUUGACUAAAAUUUAAAACGGUGUAAUAUGCUCUUAUCCGAAAAAAAAAAAAGGCAAGACAAGUUUUUGAAGGUUCUUUUCCCUCCCUUUCAUGGUGAUGAUAAGCUGCUUAAAAAUUAGAGGAAAAUCUGAGCCAAUUGCAACUUGCAAAACCAAGCACGUUGGCUGGAGUUUGCCUUUCAGGUGCUUACUCCCUUGUGAGAUUUCUCAGGGGUCACCUGACAUCCAGAGGCCCCACGCUUCCAUUUUUGAGCAGUGAGGUGACAAGUGCUCACUGCCAGACUGUGCACUGCUUCGAAGCCAAAUGCAGAUGCGUGGGGUUUCUCCCCCCAGGUCAUGCUUGACUAUUCUUUGACGUGCUCCUAGAUCUUCCCUGAGUUCAGACUGCUGACUAUCCAAACCCCGAAUCUUUUCCACCAAGCAGUCCCAGUGGCCUUCCUUAACGCCACACAUUUUCUUUCAGUAAAGGGUCAAAGAGUAAAUAUUUUUGCUUUGUAAGCCAUUUGGUCUCUGUCACAGUCAAGGCUGCAGUUGUCACGCAAAAGUAGCCGAGGACAAUGCCGGAAUGAAUGGGUGUGGCUAUAUUCCAAAAGAUGUGAUUCACAGCAGCAGGCAGUGAGCCGGAUAUGGCCCCCUGACUGUAGUUGGCUGGCCUUUGAGUUAGAUCAGUAGUGAAGUCUAAUGGUUUCUAUAGCAAUUAUUUGGAGCUCUGAUGGUCAAUUUUUAUCAAUGUGAUUGGACUAUACUACCCAGUUAUUUAGUCAAAUACUUAUCUAAGUGCUGCUUAUUCUUAAUUCUAAAUGUAAUAGUUUGCAUCUACCAACCCCAAAACAGUAUUCAAAGAAAUGCAUGUGCCUACGUGCUCCAUACUGUCUCUGGUUUAAUUCACUUACGUUACACCAGUUGUCUCCAUCCUGGUUCAAGGAAAGACCGUUCACUGGCUUUUGUUUUCUGGAAGCUUCUUCACAACUUCCCAGACAUCCUUGACAGGGAAGGUGGUGGUGGUGUGUCCGAAGGGGAUGUUCCCAGGAAUAAACAGGAGCCUUCAUUAGGAGCAAAGCGGUGUCAGAAAGACCGACUGUAGCAUCAUUUUCUCCGAGCUGCUAUGUGGUCAGGAGGCAGAGGCCAGGCCACUGGGAUGGACGUUUACUCCUCAGUGAGCACCCCGUCUGUGAUGGCAGAGACUGUGGGCCUCUCUGGGAGAGCGCUGCCCCUGCAGAGGGAUGAGCCCUCCUUCACUAAACCUUCUUUUCUGCAGCAUCCAACAGUCACCCCUCCAAACACAUGCACACAUCCGUGGUGCGCUGUAUCCGUGCGUCGUUCAGACCUGGGUCCAUACUGGCUUUACCCUGAGUGUGGGUUUUUACAAGGUGGGAUAGAAAGGUGAGGAUUGGAGGAUAAGAGAGGUGGAGAUGGAGGCACCUGUAUGCACAGGUGGGUGCUGUUUUCUCCCUCUCCGAGCUAGAGGGUAGCCUGGUCUGGGGACCUGCUCCCUGCCUGUGUGAAGGGCACCCUCCUUGGUCCUUAACAAGAGAAGAGGUCAUGCCUGUCUGAGCCUCAGUUUCUCUGUAAGAGUCUUCCUUCUCUGGGUUCCAGGAAGACUCUGGUUUCUUCCAAGAAGCUGGUGUGUUGAGUUUUUCAAACUCUUAGCCCCCAGAUCUUGCCACUUAGGGCUGGGUCAGCUUUCCUCUGCUUCCAUUCUUCUUGGCCUGAGCUCACCUGGGAAUGGGCAUCUCUGUGCCUUCGGCAUCUGCAUCCCGGCAGCUCCCACUUCCUGUUCACCACUUACAGCCAUACAGAAAGGGCCACAUGGGUAAGACAAGCUUUCGAAAGUUGGAGUAACUACUUUUGUGAAAGCUUGACUUCCACCAGACUUCUUAAGAGUCCUGUUCUGUUUUCUCCCUUGAAUAUUUGAAAACACAGGAUACUCAUGGCAUUCUUCAGCAGUGACAGUGUAGGGAAGGUUGGACUAUUUUGUCUACAAGUAUUUGGAUUUUAGGUAGUGAAAACACUACGUAAAUAAAAUGUUGUUGUUGGAACUUUGUUCACUUCCCCCCUUAUUAUUUAUCUAUUUAUUUAUUUUAGAUGUUCCAGUUAUGGUACCAGGGAGAGUUGUGCUAAAAUCAGACUUGCUUUUACCUCCGUUUGUAGAGAUGUUCAUAGCACGUGCGUAGAUCUCAAUCUGCAUUGUCUCAGUGUGCAAGAAAUGAUGUUUCUUUGUUUCUCUAAAAUUCACCUUCAUGUCUCCAUUGCAUCGAGGUGCUAGAAAUGUUUGCCAAAUUAGGAUUAUCCCACCAUUUCUGGAGUUAUAUUUAAGUUCUGGGAGGAAUGCAAGAGAAGGUGGGAGAGAUCUCAUAACAUGUGACACUUGUAUGUCCAGAAUUCUCAGCAUCUCCUGUAUUGUCUCUGGCCUUUGCUUUCCAGGGCCCCGUGUCUCUGCAGCAUCCUCCGUCUCUGCAGGACACAUCUGUAGAUCUGACAGUCUUACAUCUGUACCCAGGAUUCAUUCUGCUUCUUCCUCCACAUGCACUGGGCCAGAGCCACCCCAUGAGGCUGAGUUCAGUGACUUUCAUGCCACACUUGUGUGCGUGGAAUGUUCAGUCCUUUCUGCACCUCGCUGGGGUCCUGGGAACUCUGCAAGGCAGCUGCAGGCCUUCCAGAAAGACACCCUACACAAGGCCUUCUACUCUGGGUCUUGCUGCUUCUUUAACCUCUACCUAGAGCUAGGCCCAAACCCCCAACCACCUGGAAUCCUUGUCAGCACCUCUGAGGCUCAGACUGGGGAGAGUUGGCCCGCCCUCUUUUGCUCAGAGCCGUCCCAGCAUCUUACCUCCCAUUGCUCUCACACUGGUCGUUUUCCCUCCAGCCUGGGGCUGCUUAUAUUUCCAGGGUGGCAAGAGUGGACAGACUUUUUUACUUGGAACCUAGACUUGUAAAACUUCAAGGCUUUUUCACUGCUUUCUGCUAUGACAUUACGUACGUGAGUUCAUGAAUUCUUCUCUUUCUGGUCUCCCCAGUAGAACAAAAGGGUAAAAAGUCCAAGCACAUAUAGAUGGGUCAUGUCAGUUAAUAACAAAAGGUAUUAUCAGAGACACAUAGUUUCUCUUUUUCAUCAACUCUAUUAAUUAUAUGACCAUUUAGUGACUAUCUGCUUUCUUAUGGAAAUGUUCUAAGGGCUUAGGAUGCAUAGAUGAAUAUGAGACAAUAUCUCAUCUCUUUAAGGUCUAACAAUUUGGGAAAGUAAUGAAAAACAUGUGCUGCCUCAGUGUAAAAAGCUUGAUAAUAGGGGGUAAACGGAGCCCCGUGGUCUUGCAGGUGAAAUCAUCUGGGGCUACCGGAGCAUCCGUCUUGUUUCUUGGAUGUCACUGGGGCUCAGGAAUCCCUGUGUCCAGAAUUUGAAACUACUGCUUUACCACGGAUGUGAAGCAGUGGGCGAGCCUCCCAAAGUGAUGGAGGAAGACGAUUUGCAGAUCCUGUUUUAAACAUUGAAACUGUGUCGCUCAGCUGCUCACGGUUUCCAUGGAGAACUUCGGCCACAGGCUGGUACACCAGCUGAAAACAGGUCUUCCAUGGAGGAUGCAUUGUGCUGAUGAACACUCUUGUGUCAUGGGAAAAACUGCUUGAUGAAGCCUUCCUGUUUUGCCUCUCUGUGUAGAAGUCCCACUUUCAUUUAUUUAUUUAUUUUAUAGCCGUACCAGAGGUGUAUGGAAGUUUUCAGGCCAGGGAUUGAAUCUGAGCCACAGCUGCAGCCAUGCCAGCAGAUCCUUUAACCCACUGAUGUCACACUGGGGUUUGAACCCAUGCCUCCGCAUCAACCCAAGCCACUGCCGUCAGAUUCUUAACCUAAUGCGCCAUGGCGACAAUGCCUAGAAUUCCUACUUUUAAACUGGGAAAAUCUACAAGAGAUCACACCCAGCAGGUUCUAGGAUUCCGUGAAUAGGUUCGCCCCAUUCUUUUAGAAGUCCCCCUCCAUCACUACGUAUGCACGCCUUUUGGCAGCUCAGUGACCAGGGGGCACUUGGCUGUCCAUCGCUAAAUCACACAGGCAUGUUCAAAAUGGACUGCCUGGCCAAAUACCUCCUAACUCCAGGGCUUAAGGCAUUACUUUCUUGGGAUUCUGUAAAUCUGAAUUUAUUGAUCUUAUCACUGCUCUGGAAGAUUACACUGCAAUCAAACCAUUUUCCUUCCUUCCUUCCUUCCUUCCUUCCUUCCUUCCUUCCUUUCUUUCCUUGCACCACAUCCAAGGCAUAUGGAAGUUCCCAGGCUAGGGGUCAAAUCAGGGCCACAUCUGCCCACCUACACCACAGCCACAGCAACACCAGGUCUGAGCCCUGUCUGCAACCGGCACUGUGGCUUGUAGAAAUGCCAGAUCCUCAACCCACUGAGCGGGGCCAAGGAUUGAACCCGAAUCCUCAUCGAUACUGGUCGGGUUCUUAACCCGCUGAGCCACAAUGGGAACUCCCAGAACCAUUUUCAACUCUUUGCCCAGCCCCUAGCCAGGGGGCUGCACGUAGUUCGCACUUAGGAUCUGGCCCUGAAGCCAUAACAUCAGAGAACACCUGCUUAUAAAACUUCAAGGAAAAGUCAUGCUGAAGAAAUGAGGUCAUUCUUGUACCCAGCCAGGCUCCAUGACAUCCAGGACUUGUCACACGUAUUACCUGUAUUUUGCACAAGAAUAUAAUCUGACUCCAUGCCUCACCAGAACACGCUAUGUCUUAUCAAAAGAUCUGCUUCAGAACAACACAAAGACUGCAUUUGUAGUCCAUUUGAGGUGCAGCAGAAUUUAAACAGGUUUCCCACCCCCCCUUGGAAAUAAAAAUUGGGGAAAAAAAGGUUUUUUUGCCUGUUGAGUAAUUUAUUUAUAUUCUGUCUCCUUGCAAAGGAAGAUGGGACAUGGCUUACACAGAUACAAUAUUUCAACAUAAUAAAAAAUUUAGGAAUAUCUAAGAGAAGUAUUUUCAGAAAGCCAAAUAAAGAUUAAGGGGUCUGAAAUUAAAACAGAGCUGGCAGUUGGGUCUCCUGGCAAGUCAGACAGUCUUCCACAUAGUAGGGGGUGAAUUACAAAUUUAAUUCUGGGCCCAGAGAGGCUAAAAAGAAGAUGCAAAUGAAAUCACUCUCAGAGCUGAUUUUUGAAAAGGGGUAGACGGGUCAGAAAAACACCUACUCCUGACAUGGAGGGAGGAGCGAUUUCUUCCUUCCGUCUUCAUGGGGAGGCUUUCUGCAAAGGGUGAAUGUGGUUUUCAAUCACAGGCCUGCGGGAGACAGUCUGAGAGGUGCUGCAUGUCCACAGGUCAAGGGAGGUGAGCUCAUUCCAAAGGGAGGAAGGAAAGCCGAGAGAAAGGGCACUCUCUUUUUUAUUUCCGUGAACCUCUUCCCAGUGGUAGUUUGUUGGGACUUUACAUUUUCUUUCUUUAUCUCUGAAUCCAGUAUAAAAGCCUCCCCUAAGACCGCGAGAGUGGGGAGCACUUUUUUUUUUCCUCCUCAAUAAUGUGUUUUAUUUUUCAAAUAUAAUUGCAAGGGAUGUUAGUUUAUAUAUAAGCAGGGACUUACACAGACCCACAGAAUGGGAGAAAAUAUUUGCAAAUGAAGCAACCGACAAGGGAGUCAUCUCCAAAAUACACAAACACCUCCUGUAGCUCAAUAUCCAAAGAAACCGAACAACUCAAUCAAAAAAUGGGCAGAAGAUCUAAAUAGACAUUUCUCCAAAGAAGAUCUACAGAUGCACCCCCCCAAAAAAAACACAUGAAAAGAUGCUCAACAUCACUAAUCAUGAGAGAAAUCCAAAUCAAAACUACUAUAACAUACCACCUUACACAGCCAAAAUGGCCAUCGUCAAAAAGUCUACAAAUAAUAAGUGCUGGAGAGGGUGUGGAGAAAAGGGUACCUUCUUACACUGUCGGUGGGAAUGUACAUGGGUGCAACCACUAUGGAAAAAGUAUGGAGGUUCCUCAAAAAACUAAAAAUAGAACUACCAUUCCAUUCUGCACUCCCACUCCUGGGCCUCUAUCCAGAGAAAACCAUAAUUCGGAAGAAAGACAUGCACCCCAGUGUUCUCUGCAGCACUGUGUACAGUAGCCAAGACAUGGAAGCCGCCUAAAGGUCCAACCACAGAGGGGUGGGUAAAGAAGACAUGGUACAUACAUACAAUGGAAUUUUACUCAGCCGUAAAAAUGAAUGAAAUAAUGCCAUUUGCAGCAACAUGGAUGGACCUAGAAACUAUCACACUAAGUGAAGUUGGUCCGACACUGAGAGCCAAACUUCAUAGGAUAUCACCGAUAUGUGGAAUCUUAAAAAAAAAAGAUACAAAUGGGUUUAUUUGCAGAACAGAAUCAAACUCACAGACUUUGGAAAACAUGGUUUCCAAAGGGGGCUGGUUGGGGGCGUGGGAGGGAGGGGUGGAUGGUGGGGGGCGGUUGGGACCGGCAUGUGCACACUGAGGUAUGCGGAAUGAUCGACUGAAGGGGACCCGCUGUACAGCACAGAGACCUCUACCCAAUAUUCUGUGAUCGUCUAUGUGGGGAAAGAAUCUGAGAGAGAAUGGAUGUGUGUACAUGUAGGGCUGGGUCACUCUGUUGUACAGCAGAAAUG